CAUAAUUAACGUUAUAGCAUAAUAGAUUUGAGCUCUCAUUAAUGAAAGUUUGGGCUUUUAAUGACAUCUUAUGCGUAAAGGAUCGGUUUUGAUUGCUUUGCAAAUGUUUUUGAUGGUAAUUUUUCAAUAGAUAAAUGAAGUAAUGUUAAGCUAAUUAAUUUAACCUAAAAGUCUGCACUGUAGAGUCUAUCAGUGACGUCACUUGCGGUCUAAAAUGGGCUGAAACUAUUUCAAAUCACUGUUUCAAGCUUGUUCUGAUUCUUUAUUGUAAAUAAAUAUUGAUAAAAAAAUUGUAGAGUGAUUUCAGGAGUGUCUUAAAAACCCUCUAAAACAGAGGGGAAGUUCCAAGAAAAUUUCGAAUGGGAGCUGCUGACAGAGAUAGAAAACACAGUUUGUUUAUUUCUAAUAAGGAGCUGGAGGCCGUGAAGAAACAGAUCCACGAUAUCGUGGAGAAGCAGGCCCAGCUGAGCGAGUGGAGAGCUGUGUUGGAAACAUUCAGGGGUUGAUGCUCAUAAG